UUGUCGUAGGUGGUCACGAACGUAAUGUUUCUGUGUUCCUCGUUAGGUUGGCUGGAAAGAAGUGCCUCUCUGUCCAGCGAGCAUGAUUUGGUGAAAGCAUUUUCAAUUAGAUUGCUGGGAUAGUUACGUUUCCUGAAAUCGGCAGACAUUUCGUGAGCGCGUCUGUGGAAAUCGUCGGUGUUGGAACAUAUGCGCUUGAGUCGUGUGAAUUGCCCAAAAGGAAUAUUUCUUUUCUGGACAUUGGGGUGAUAACUAUUAAAAUGGAGAUACUGACGUCUGUCGGUUGGUUUCUUAUAAAGGUGAAUUGGAUAGUGCUAUGCAAGGAGUUGAAGUGUUCAAAGAAAGACAACAAGGAAGAGUUGUCACCUGGCCACACAACAAAAAUGUCGCCGAUGUAUCUCAGGAAAAUGAGCGGCUGUACGGGGAAGGAUUCAAGGGCCCUCUUUUCAAAUUGACCCAUGAAGAGGUUUGCAUAGUUAGGUGACACGCGGGAUCCCAUCGCUGCGCCAUGUACUUGGACAAAAUGUCUGCCAUUAAACUCAAAGUUAUUAUA